CUCUUCGCCACCCCCACGGAGCAGCAUGGCCUGCAGGGUCUCCACGGCGCCACUGUACAGAACGAUCCAUCAGCUCUACCGGCACCAACCCACUCACCGGACCUCCGUCUCGUCUACCUCACCGUCGACCCCUCGCCCACGCCCUGCCUCUGGCCCGGAACGUCCCGCCUCUUUCACGGCCAAAGAACCAUCACCCUCUCCAUCUUCAAAGCCUUAUUAAAAUCACAUCUCCAAGAGGUCUUCCCUAAAACCCUCAA